rnacentral:rRNA from 1 species
AAUGGGCGCAAGCCUGAUGCAGCAACGCCGCGUGAGGGAUGAAGGCCUUCGGGUUGUAAACCUCUUUUAGCAGGGAAGAAGCGAAAGUGACGGUACCUGCAGAAAAAGCACCGGCUAACUACGUGCCAGCAGCCGCGGUAAUACGUAGGGUGCAAGCGUUGUCCGGAAUUAUUGGGCGUAAAGAGCUCGUAGGCGGUUUGUCACGUCUGCUGUGAAAAUCCAAGGCUCAACCUUGGACUUGCAGUGGGUACGGGCAGGCUAGAGUGCGGUAGGGGAGAUGGGAAUUCCUGGUGUAGCGGUGGAAUGCGCAGAUAUCAGGAGGAACACCAAUGGCGAAGGCACAUCUCUGGGCCGUAACUGACGCUGAGGAGCGAAAGCGUGGGGAGCGAACAGGAUU